UACGGGGGGGGCAAGCGUUGUUCGGAAUUACUGGGCGUAAAGGGCUCGUAGGUGGCCAACUAAGUCAGACGUGAAAUCCCCAGGCUUAACCUGGGAACUGCGUCUGAUACUGGAUGGCUUGAAUUCGGGAGAGGGAUGCAGAAUUCCAGGUGUAGCGGUGAAAUGCGUAGAUAUCUGGAGGAACACCGGUGGCGAAGGCGGCAUCCUGGGCCGGUAUUGACGCUGAGGAGCGAAAGCGUGGGGAGCAAACAGG
rnacentral:rRNA from 1 species